AAUCCUGACCCAGCAACGCCGCGUGGAGGACGAAAGCCUUCGGGUUGUAAACUCCUGUCAGCAGGGAAAAAGGCUAUAAAAGCUAAUACCUUUUAUAGCUUGAUGGUACCUGCAGAGGAAGCACCGGCUAACUACGUGCCAGCAGCCGCGGUAAUACGUAGGGUGCAAGCGUUAUUCGGAAUCACUGGGCGUAAAGGGCGCGCAGGCGGUUUUGUAAGUCUAAAGUGAAAUCCUUGGGCUUAACCCAAGGGCUGCUUUAGAUACUGCAAAACUCGAGUUCGGGAAAAGCAAGCGGAAUUCCUGGUGAAGGGGUGAAAUCCGUAGAUAUCAGGAAGAACACCAGUGGCGAAAGCGGCUUGCUAGAACGCAACUGACGCUUAGGCGCGAAAGCGUGGGGAGCAAACAGGAUUAGAUACCCUGGUAGUCCACGCCCUAAACGAUGGAUGUUAGGCGUUGGGAAGUACACUUCUCASUGCCGUAAGCUAACGCGUUAAACAUCCCGCCUGGGGAGUACGGUCGCAAGAUUAAAACUCAA
rnacentral:rRNA from 1 species